UCGAGCGGACAGAAGGGAGCUUGCUCCCGGAUGUUAGCGGCGGACGGGUGAGUAACACGUGGGUAACCUGCCUGUAAGACUGGGAUAACUCCGGGAAACCGGAGCUAAUACCGGAUAGUUCCUUGAACCGCAUGGUUCAAGGAUGAAAGACGGUUUCGGCUGUCACUUACAGAUGGACCCGCGGCGCAUUAGCUAGUUGGUGAGGUAACGGCUCACCAAGGCGACGAUGCGUAGCCGACCUGAGAGGGUGAUCGGCCACACUGGGACUGAGACACGGCCCAGACUCCUACGGGAGGCAGCAGUAGGGAAUCUUCCGCAAUGGACGAAAGUCUGACGGAGCAACGCCGCGUGAGUGAUGAAGGUUUUCGGAUCGUAAAGCUCUGUUGUUAGGGAAGAACAAGUGCAAGAGUAACUGCUUGCACCUUGACGGUACCUAACCAGAAAGCCACGGCUAACUACGUGCCAGCAGCCGCGGUAAUACGUAGGUGGCAAGCGUUGUCCGGAAUUAUUGGGCGUAAAGGGCUCGCAGGCGGUUUCUUAAGUCUGAUGUGAAAGCCCCCGGCUCAACCGGGGAGGGUCAUUGGAAACUGGGAAACUUGAGUGCAGAAGAGGAGAGUGGAAUUCCACGUGUAGCGGUGAAAUGCGUAGAGAUGUGGAGGAACACCAGUGGCGAAGGCGACUCUCUGGUCUGUAACUGACGCUGAGGAGCGAAAGCGUGGGGAGCGAACAGGAUUAGAUACCCUGGUAGUCCACGCCGUAAACGAUGAGUGCUAAGUGUUAGGGGGUUUCCGCCCCUUAGUGCUGCAGCUAACGCAUUAAGCACUCCGCCUGGGGAGUACGGUCGCAAGACUGAAACUCAAAGGAAUUGACGGGGGCCCGCACAAGCGGUGGAGCAUGUGGUUUAAUUCGAAGCAACGCGAAGAACCUUACCAGGUCUUGACAUCCUCUGACAACCCUAGAGAUAGGGCUUUCCCUUCGGGGACAGAGUGACAGGUGGUGCAUGGUUGUCGUCAGCUCGUGUCGUGAGAUGUUGGGUUAAGUCCCGCAACGAGCGCAACCCUUGAUCUUAGUUGCCAGCAUUUAGUUGGGCACUCUAAGGUGACUGCCGGUGACAAACCGGAGGAAGGUGGGGAUGACGUCAAAUCAUCAUGCCCCUUAUGACCUGGGCUACACACGGGCUACAAUG
rnacentral:rRNA from 1 species